GACGAAGGGGGCUAGCGUUGCUCGGAAUUACUGGGCGUAAAGCGCGUGUAGGCGGCUGUUCAAGUUGGGCGUGAAAGCCUUGGGCUUAACCCAAGAAAUGCGCUCAAUACUGAAUGGCUAGAGGACCGGAGAGGAUAGUGGAAUUCCCAGUGUAGUGGUGAAAUACGUAGAGAUUGGGAAGAACACCAGUGGCGAAGGCGGCUAUCUGGACGGUUUCUGACGCUAAGACGCGAAAGCGUGGGGAGCAAACAG
rnacentral:rRNA from 1 species